rnacentral:rRNA from 1 species
CUAGCUGUAAACGAUGAGCACUUAUCUGGGGAUCCUCCCAUAGGUUCCCGGAUGUAGCGAAAGUGUUAAGUGCUCCGCCUGGGGAGUAUGGUCGCAAGGCUGAAACUCAAAGAAAUUGAC